CAAGCAGCCACAAUCCAUUCGCAAAUUGUGGCGUAACUCGCCAAGCGCUGCCUCUCACUCUUUGUAAAGUUGUAAACCAAAACCGAAGUUGUUUUGCAACAAUGCACAUAGCCACACUCUAUACAGGUGUUGGUACCUGCUUGGGGCAUCCCUUUAGCGUCCACUCACACGCCCACCCUUCACUCAUUGGCGGACUUCUCUCCCGCAUGCCUGUCCUCUCUCACGUCUGCCUUCUCUCUCUCUCUCUCUCUCUCUCUCUCUCUCUCUCUCUCUCUCUCUCUCUCUCUCUCUCUCUCUCUCUCUCUCCAUAUAUGUAUAUAUA